rnacentral:lncRNA from 1 species
AUGACCUACAAUAGCUUGAGGGAGCUAAAGGAAGCUACAAAAUCACGGAUUGAUCUUGACCUGGCAUCGUUGCUACUGGACUUUCGGCCUCUGUGCUGCUGCACACCAUCUGACCUGUUGGUUUGGGGCUCUUUAUUCAGGAGGAUGUAUUGGCAAACCAAAAGUGGUAAGAGGCUGUUGACCCCAUACACAGCAGAGGCACAUGUGUGUAUGCAAUACGCUGUAAAAAAUCCCAGAACUAUAUGAGGUAUCUGAAUACACAACAACUAAGACAAAAUUAGUGAGCUAAAGUUACAGACAAAGUGAUGUACAAGCUGAAAGCUAGUGUCACUGGAGCUGUUAUGCAUUAAAUGGUACCAGUUGGCCAAGCUUGUGCAUUCUCCAGUGAAGCUUUCAAACCAACGGCCAUGGCCAGUAGAUGGUGACAACCUUUUUUACUUUUCCAUCCUUAUCACAAAUUGUGUUUUUGAUUGAUAGCAAAAACAUAAAUAAAACCAUUAGAAGAUCCAUGUUUCACAAGAACAGUGUGGCAUCUUUUUAAAAAUGUGUUUUUAUGAAGCUUUGAAUCCAUGAAUCCAUUUUUCAAAUGUAUUUAUACAUUUUGUAUUUUACACUGCUCCUCCAAAUUUGAGACCAUGGUCUUGAGCUGGAAAAAGGCAGAAUGCCUUUUCUGAGUCAGGGAGGAGGUCCUGCCCCAAGUAGAGGAUUUUAAGUAUCUUGGGUCUCUUUCAUGAAUGAGGGAAAGCUGGAGCCGGAUAUCGACAGGUGGAUUGGUGAUGCGUCUGCAGUGAUGCGGGCGUUGUACUGGUCUGCCGUGGUGAAGAAAGAACCUGAGCCAGAAAGCAAAGCUCUCAAUCUAUGUUACAGCCUUCAUAUUUAGUCAAGAGCUUUGGGUAGUGACCAAAUAAAUGCGAUUUUGGAUACAAGUGGUUGAAAAACUUUUUCUCGCAUUUUUUCAGGCUCUCUCCAGGUGUUUCAGUUGAUGGCUUCCAGAGGCGCCCAUCACCCUUUCAGGCUCCCCCUAGCUUCUCCGUCAUUGGAACCCUGCUGACCUAAUGGCACCUAAGGCGAUUCUUUCAAAAUAUCUGACCAAAGUGGAGAUUUGUGAACUCUCA